GUGUUGAUUCAGAAUCAUAUGACCAUGUUUGCUUGGGCAAAGGUUUUGGAGAUGGCUACAGGAAAUGGCUGCAAGGCUGCCUAACGGUGACUUGAUGGAAAAGGAGAAGUGAAAUUAGUGUGUAAGAGAAAAUGAACGAGUCGUUAAUACUUUAUGUGUGUGAAGUUACAAAUGUAUUGAUAUUGAAAAUGUUAUGAAGUAACCCUGAGUGUUUAUACAUAUUGUACCAAGAUCCUACGAGUGUAUUAAUCUGUAACUGUGAUUUGGCUGUUGAUGUUGAAGUGAGGAUAAAGACAGGAAGUGUGUGGUUUUACUCUGGGACCGAUGGCUGAGCAUGAAACAGGACUCUGUUGCCAUGGAGAGCGGCUGCAGGGCUUGACAAGAGUCAGCUGAUGGAAAUAGCUGACUUCACAAGAAAAGCAGUCUCAUCUACAGUCUCAGAGUACAACAACUGGUUCAGACAGAAAUCUGGGUGCUAUUCCCGCCUGUCAGAACACCAGUCAACAAGUGACGAAGAUUGCUACAACCAAGGGCUUUGGGGUGCGGUCAUCACACCCAAACACCGGAUUGCUGAGCAGGCGCCCCACGGGAAAGUUCCUUCACCAUCGGGGGAUGAUUGAAUUAGAAAACCCCAGAGUCUGGCCCGGCAGUGCUUGAAUCGCAGAGACAUCCCCUGGUUCACUCUGGGGGAACUUGGGCGGAGCAGAAGAGUGAGCUCUUUCCUCGAUCACCCAAAUUAACAGAGAAUCAAAUCUCAAUCAGAGCAAAGCCACGGCCAUCAGGGAGCUAGGUUCCUAGAAACUCCCAGAUGGUAACAUGUGCACGGAUCGGAGGGAUCUGCCAGAACGGGUGUGGCCGAGAGGUUCGGACUUCCUCAAUCGGCUACUGAGAAGCACCGAAUCCAGGAGGAGGAAGGCUGAGGCAUCUGAGUAAGGCAGCUAUUUUUGGGCCGGCUGGAAGUUCGGACCCUUGAGACGGGGGGCUGGUAGGAACCAUGCUCCCAUGUUCCAUGACAGGGGUCAAACCACCAAAUAGUUCCUGAGCACAGCCACAGCUGCAGCUCACCGCUCCCCUUCAUGAGGAUGGGUCAAAUGUGGAGAUGCAAUUUCACCAGUGUGUGAUGACUAAUGGGACUUUACUUUUAAUGUUACACUCACGUUGACAAUGUCGUAUGCAAAUGACAACUUAAACAUCCACUCGAGAUCUACAUCUGAAGCCCUCAGGACAUCCUGUAAAAAGACAGAACAACUUGUGAACAGUUUGGUUGCGCAUCAGCAUUAGCUGUAAAAACAGAGUUUUCUUCUCACCUUCAGACUGCCUUUCUUGCAGUACUGGAUGACCAUGCAGAUGUUUGGUGGUUCAACGCAAACCCCAAAGAACUGAACCAAGUUCUCAUGUUUCAUCUCUUUCAUCUUUCUUAAAAAGUUGAAGAUAAUUAGGCAGAGUAUCUAUGUCUUUGAGUGGACAAUGAAAACAAAUCAGCAUUUAAAUGCCAUAAUAAUUAAUGCAGGUAUUUGAAAGAGUUAAAAAGGUUCAGUAUUAUUUUUAAUUAAUGUCUGUGAACCAUAAAAAACACAUUUAAAUUUAACAUCACAUUUUCAAAAAUCAAUAUUUUUUUAUUAUGGUCUGUGGGUAACACUUUACAAUAAGGGUCCCUUUAUUGACAUCACUUAGUGCAUUAUUAAGCAUUAAUUAACAAAGGAUCCCUUAAUUAAUAUUCCUGAUAUUAUUAACUACUAAGUGUCCUUAAAGGGAGUCUAGGCAGUGCUGGCUUGCUUUUAGCACCCCCUAGUGUUUGUUUGUAGAACCGAAACCAAAAUCCAUCUAGUUGCUGUGCGUUCGUCUUUUCAACACCUUAAUCUAACAGUUUAAAUGUCUCCCCAGUCUUCCUUAGGGUCUACAGGAGUUAGUCAUCACUGAAUUUAACACAUUAGCUGUGUUCAUGAUCUAAAACGUGCAGGAAACAUGCUGAAACCAGAUUGCAGCACCAGGUAUGUCAGCUCCAUUUUUUCUAAGUCCAAAAAAGUCUGGACCGACAACUGUGCAAAGUUGCAGAGUAUCUCUUUAAGGUUAGGACAAAGGGUCUGGGGGGUGUCUGCUUAGUAAUGCACUACUUAAUAUUGAUAUUAAGCAGUUGUUAAUACUUUAUUUAAUAAUUUAUUAAUGCUUAAUAAUGCACUAAGUAAUGUUAAUAAAGGGACCCUUAUUGUAAAAUAUUACUGGAAUUUGAAUACAGGCAACCAAGAGGAGCUUUACCAUAUUGAACUCUGCGAUGAUUGAAGGUUUCUGGAAGUUACAGCUUGCAGGGUUCUUGACAUACUUGAUGGCCACAUGAUUUCCCUGGAUUUACGUAAAAAAUACUCAUCAGCCAGAAAUUAUGUCUCAAGAUGAGUGUACAUUGCUCAAAAAAUACCUUUUUAAAGUAGAUACAACUAAUCUUGUCAUGUUCUGUGUCCUGUGGACACCAGCCCCUUCCAGGUUUCCCUCCCAUGUUCCCACAGGGGUGCCCAAUCACGGCCCUGGAGGACCGGAAUCCAGGAUUGGUUUUUCUGCUCCAACACACUUGAUUCAGUGGUUGAUUCGCCUGUGCAGCAGCUCACCAGGCUCUGCAGAAGCCUGUUAAUUAGCUGCUGAUUGAAAUUAGGCGUGUUGAAAGAGAGUAAAAACCAAAGCAUGCAGGUUACCGGCCCUCCAGGACCAGGAUUGGGCAUCCCUGCUCUAGUCACAUCAUAUUUAGUUGUCCCAUCUCGUUUAUUGCCAGUCUCCCCAGUAUUAGAUUCCCUCUUCUUUUGAUUUUUGUCUCUUUGGAUCCUCAAGUUAGAGAUCUGGUGUUUCUUGUUUUUUCUUGUGUCUCUAGUUUAGUAUGUUCUAUAUGUUUAUAUUAAGUUAGUUUCUCCCUUUAGAUAUUGUGUUCCUUUGCCUUCAAUUAGCAAGUGACCAACAGGUUUCUGCAGUGCUUGAUGAGCUGCUGCACAGGUGAUACAACCACUGAAUCAGGUGUGCUGGGCUAGAGAAACCACUGAAACGUGCUGGAUACCAGCCCUCAAGACCCAGAAUUGAAUAGACCUGCUCUAGUGUCUCCAGCCAUGUAGUUUUACUCUUCAGGUUUUAGUUAUUCUUAGUUCUACUCAGCUUUUUAAGUUUCUCCUUCUAGUUUCAUCUUCAGCUCUCUGUAUGUUUUAUGCAUAGUUGGUCUCCUCCUCUGGUUUAUUGCAUUUCCUCCCCACUCUGUUUAUUGGUUACACCUGCUCCAUUUUCCCUGAUUGCUCCCCUCUAAAAUCCUGUCAAGUCUUUCUGUGGUUGUUGGACCAUUGUCUCCUGUCAGCGUUACUGUCUCUUGUGCUCCCUAGUCUCCUUCUAGUAAGUUUGCUGUCUGUUGCUAUUUUCCGGACUAUAAGCCGCAACUUUCCCCAAGCUUUGAACCAUGCGGCUUAUAAUGAGGUGCAGCUUUACUGAAGAUUUUCCUUUGCCUGCCAGGGGCCGCUUUAGCAGAAAGUGAAAAAGGUGGAAGUCAAAACUGGAAAUCGAAGAAAGCGCUCAUUUUAAUUUAGCACAUGCAAGCAGCCGGCACGACAAAUAAUUUUUUUCAAAUCCAUACCCCCUCAUCAUGGAAACUACAUGUAUGAGUUCAUAUGAUGCCGCAUUUAAGUUGAAGGCCAUCGAUCUGGCAGUAAAGGAGGGAAACAGUGCUGCCGCACAUAAGAUUGAAUUAAUCCAUGGUUCAGCGCUGGAGACGGCAGCGGGAAGAACUCAUUCAAGCCAGCUUCACCCGGGGAUGAUGACAGCAACACGGACAGCGACACUGACAUUAACACAGAAAAGGCAUGUGACGAAGCUCUUCUGAGGCUGUUCAACUCCGACACUGAAGAAGAGGACUUUAAUGGCUUUAGUGCCCAAGAGGAAGAUGAGAGUGAAUGACUUCUUCUGGUAGGCAAGUGUGUUUUAUUAACUAACCAGGCAUGUUUUGUGUGCAGUUUUUAUUUUCUAAUCAUCCAGGGCUUAUUAAUGCUGUGUCAGCGCUGUUCUUUUCUUCUAAACAUGCAUGCAAAUUACCGGUAAUAACGUGUCAGUUCUGUUUUUAUUUUAUAACCAUCCAGAAAAAUGAAUACUAUCAGUGCUCACCUGUGUUUAAAAUUUGUUUUGUUGAAUUAAAACAACAACAAAAAACCUUUGUGUAGCGUCUUUCUGUCUAAUUAACUUAUGUUAUGGCCACACAUGCACUGUGUGCCGGAGACCUGCAUGUGGCUGCUGCGCUGCUGCUUGUAUUUGAGUGCGGCGUGUGUGUGUAGAAAACCUUUUUUAUUUUGUUGGUGUGGCUUAUAUUGAGGUGCGCAUUAUAGUCCAAAAUUACAGCACCCAACUCUUCCUAAAUAAAGCAAUAUUACCUUUGAACCAACAAACUAUCUGUGUCGUUCUGGGUUUCCUUCAUUUUUGGUCCAAACCUCUACCUAACGUGACAAAUCUAGGACCAAAUUAAGAGCUGCAGCCUACAUUUUAGACUGUGGAACCUCAGACCUUCUCUUUUGACAGAUGCGGCUUCUUUUACCUCUUUUUCAAAACACCAAUCCAAAAUAUAAACAUUCUUGUCCUUGAAGGAGUGUCCCUUAUUCUUGAGUUGUAGGUUGACAGAAAUUUGGAUCUUCUGUGUUAUAAUAUGUGAUUUUAUAAUGGUUGUUGGGGUCUCCCCAUAUCCUAACACAUCACACUUGAGAUUGAUUUUUGGAUUGAAGUUCC